CCACUCCAUAAAUGCCUGACGUAUUUCAUCGCCGUAACUUCAAAAUAACAUCACUGGAGAUUUUACUGAAUUUAGAAAGAGUGAAUCACUAGACGUACCUUCAUGGUACGCUUCGGCACCAAGUCAGGCUCGUUUGUUAUCGCCAGGGGUAUAUUGGCUCGACUGCGUACCAAAAUGGUACGAUUAGGUGAGAACUGGGUAAAAUAUCUAUUAGAUCACGGAAGAAAGACCACGUGGAUGAUUGUCGCGAGCGAUGGCGCUGGCAAGAAGAGCGAGAGUUUUCGACAGGCUGUAUUUUAGUACAAAGCAAAAAGGCGAAAAGGUUUAAGAACUUCAGUGCCUUCAGAGGAUGAAGUCCAACAUCAUAUCACAAUCUGCCGCUUCAAUUAAACAAUGGUCGAAAGUAAGAGUGAGGAUUCUGACACAACUGCAAAGAGCGCCGAGGAAAAGGAAAGUGGAAAGGGAGCAUGCCUGUAUGUGUCCUCAGCAAAAAGUUCAGAUUCAACAACAAUCAUCAUCAAGAAGCUGGAGGCCAUAAGGAUUUACUGUUAACAUUAGGAAUCAAGCAUUGCAUCGGCUUCACAGUUAUGUGCCUCCAUGAGGAUGGCUCUUAUUGUGUUGGAAGACUGUGAAGAAAACAAUUUCAUUGAGACUAUCAAAUCACCGAAGGAUGAUGAUACAACAAGCACACGCCCAUUGUAUUUAUUUCUUCUGGACCCCUGUCAGAUACUUGAUGCAAGAGCAGUACAUUGAUGAGCUUGUGUUCAAAUGCUUGACGCUGGAGUGUGAUCUGGGAAGUGCAGUAAAUUGCCUGAUAAUGCAACCAGGACAAUAAACAGUGACCAAGACAGAAUUUCUCCCUACAAUAUCAAUACAAUAUCAAGUGGACAAGUGAUGG